ensembl:ncRNA C31G12.12 ncRNA
CUUGACGCAAUUCUAGUUCCUUGACGCAAUUCUAGUGUAUUGACGCAAUUCUAGUACUUUGGCG